UGACUUCCAUUUUGCUCCUGCUCUUUCGAGACUUUGACCGUCCCCUUGACUUGCCUCUUUCCCUUCUUCUUUCUGAUCUCUUCCCCACGGCCAAGCUCUCCUAGGGAGCACCUUCCUUGGUCAACUUCUCUCACUGUUCAUUGGACCGCAGCACCGAGACUGUGUCUUCAUACUUCAGGGUCUCCUUACCAUAGAGGAG
rnacentral:lncRNA from 1 species